rnacentral:lncRNA from 1 species
CCCCUACCUUUUAUCGCGUUCCGAUUGCUCGUAGUCACUUGCAACCGGCCUCCCGCGGCACACGCCGCCCAGUUCGGCUCAAACUCUCACUCGACCACUAAACGACCACCAAACCACAAUCUGAAAAUUAAAGGUCUAUAACCUGAUGCCAUGAUGCUCCGGAUCCGAUCUCUUAAUUUUUGGACGUCGCAUCGGCCCUCCAGGCGGAAACGAAGCUCUAACAGUCCAUUUCCUCAAUAUCUUCGCAUAGGCUCGACGAAUCGCCGAACUGACUUCGCCAACGCGUUCGUAUACCUACCAAUU